GCGCGGGCGGCCGGCGAGAUGCGCGCGGCGCGGCCCCGGGAGGCGGCCGCCCUGGGGCCGUCGGGAUGGAGGUGAGACGGCAGCCGUGACGCCCGCCCUCGAGCACCCCUGCACCGCAGCGGCCCGCAGCGCUCCCCGCCCCCCGCCCCCGCAGCAGCGGGCCUUGCCGUCGAGUGACAGCGGCCUGGGGGGGCAGGGGGGGCGGGGGCGGCCGGACCAGCGAUGCCGGCGGGCAUGACGAAGCAUGGCUCGCGCUCCACCAGCUCGCUGCCGCCCGAGCCCAUGGAGAUCGUGCGCAGCAAGGCGUGCUCACGCCGGGUGCGCCUCAACGUCGGGGGCCUGGCGCACGAGGUGCUGUGGCGCACUCUGGACCGCCUGCCCCGCACGCGGCUGGGCAAGCUCCGGGACUGCAACACGCACGACUCUCUGCUCCAGGUGUGCGACGACUACAGCCUUGAGGACAACGAGUACUUCUUCGACCGCCACCCGGGCGCCUUUACCUCCAUUCUCAAUUUCUACCGCACGGGCCGGCUGCACAUGAUGGAGGAGAUGUGCGCGCUGAGCUUCAGCCAGGAGCUGGACUACUGGGGCAUCGAUGAGAUCUACCUGGAGUCCUGCUGUCAGGCCCGCUACCACCAGAAGAAGGAGCAGAUGAACGAAGAGCUGAAGCGCGAGGCCGAGACUCUGCGGGAGCGGGAGGGCGAGGAGUUCGACAACACGUGCUGCGCAGAGAAGAGGAAGAAACUCUGGGACCUGCUGGAGAAACCCAACUCGUCGGUGGCCGCCAAGAUCCUGGCCAUCAUCUCCAUCAUGUUCAUUGUCCUUUCUACCAUCGCCCUGUCACUCAACACACUGCCUGAGCUGCAGAGCCUGGAUGAGUUUGGCCAGAGCACGGACAACCCACAGCUGGCGCAUGUGGAAGCAGUAUGCAUUGCGUGGUUCACCAUGGAGUACUUGCUGAGGUUCCUGUCCUCGCCCAAGAAAUGGAAGUUUUUUAAGGGCCCUCUCAAUGCCAUUGACUUACUGGCCAUCCUGCCCUACUACGUCACCAUCUUCCUCACAGAAUCCAACAAGAGUGUGCUGCAGUUCCAGAAUGUACGCCGUGUGGUCCAGAUCUUCCGAAUUAUGCGCAUCCUUCGCAUCCUGAAGCUGGCUCGCCAUUCCACUGGCCUGCAGUCCCUGGGUUUCACACUGCGCAGAAGCUACAACGAGCUGGGCUUGCUCAUCCUCUUUCUCGCCAUGGGCAUCAUGAUCUUCUCCAGCUUGGUCUUCUUUGCCGAGAAGGAUGAGGAUGACACCAAGUUCAAAAGCAUCCCUGCCUCUUUCUGGUGGGCCACCAUCACCAUGACAACUGUUGGGUAUGGAGACAUCUACCCUAAGACUCUCCUGGGGAAGAUUGUGGGGGGCCUCUGCUGCAUUGCUGGGGUCCUAGUGAUUGCUCUUCCCAUUCCCAUUAUCGUUAACAACUUCUCGGAGUUCUACAAGGAGCAGAAGCGGCAGGAGAAAGCCAUCAAGCGGAGAGAAGCUCUGGAAAGAGCCAAGAGAAAUGGCAGCAUCGUGUCUAUGAACAUGAAGGAUGCCUUCGCCCGGAGCAUUGAGAUGAUGGACAUCGUGGUAGAGAAAAAUGGAGAGAACAUGUCUAAGAAAGAUAAAGUGCAAGAUAACCACCUGUCUCCCAACAAGUGGAAAUGGACCAAGAGGGCACUAUCCGAGACCAGCUCAAGCAAGUCCUUUGAAACCAAGGAGCAGGGGUCCCCUGAGAAGGCCAGAUCAUCUUCCAGUCCUCAGCAUCUGAAUGUCCAGCAGUUGGAAGACAUGUACAAUAAGAUGGCCAAGACACAGUCCCAACCCAUCCUCAAUACCAAGGAGAUGGCACCACAGAGCAAGCCGACGGAAGAACUGGAGAUGGGAAGCAUGCCCAGCCCCGUGGCCCCUCUGCCCACACGCACAGAAGGCGUCAUCGACAUGCGAAGCAUGUCCAGCAUUGACAGCUUCAUCAGCUGUGCCACAGACUUCCCUGAAGCUACCCGAUUCUCCCACAGUCCUCUGGCAUCCCUCUCCAGCAAGGCUGGGGGCAGCACAGCUCCAGAGGUAGGCUGGCGGGGGGCUCUGGGUGCCAGUGGUGGGAGACUCAUUGAGGCCCACACCACUCCUGAAGCCAGCCGCUCUGGUUUCUUCGUUGAGAGCCCCAGGAGUUCCAUGAAGACCAACAACCCCAUGAAGCUCCGGGCACUCAAGGUCAACUUCAUGGAGGGUGAGCCCAGCCCGCUACUUCCCUCUCUGGGCAUGUACCACGAUCCUCUUAGGAACAGAGGAGGUGCAGCAGCUGCGGUUGCAGGACUGGAGUGCGCCUCACUUUUAGACAAGCCUGUGCUGAGCCCAGAGUCCUCUAUCUACACCACAGCAAGUGCCAGGACACCCCCUCGCUCCCCUGAGAAACACACAGCAAUAGCAUUCAACUUUGAGGCGGGCGUCCACCAGUACAUAGACACGGACACAGAUGAUGAAGGUCAGCCGCUCUACAGCGUGGACUCCAGUCCUCCCAAGAGUCUCCAUGGGAGCACUAGCCCCAAGUUCAGCAUUGGAACUAGAACGGAGAAGAACCAUUUUGAAAGCUCCCCCUUGCCCACCUCCCCUAAGUUCUUAAGGCCGAACUGUGUCUACUCCUCAGAAGGGUUGACUGGGAAAGGCCCCGGAGCUCAAGAGAAGUGUAAGCUGGAGAACCACACCUCUCCCGAUGUGCACCUGCUGCCUGGGGGAGGAGCGCAUGGGAGCACGCGGGAUCAGAGCAUCUGAGCUGCCCACGGCAGAGGGGAAUUUACAGGAGAAAUCAAGGAGCGGGGGGAUGCUCGGAUAACUGCUGCUGAGUUCUAUCUGACCUCGGAGACACAAGGCCCCUGCAGAGCCCCAACAACAGGAAAGACCCUGAGAGCCAUGACAGACCUGUGGACACGUAACCAGCCAAGCCACAGGGACCAUACCUCCUAGCAGCACCUUCCUGAGAUGAUGUAAGCGGAGCUCACAGCCACUAAGACCUAGCCUCGGCCACCCACUCCCCUUGAGGUUCUCCCAGGCCCAGCGUGCGCCAUCUCCAUCUCUUGUGGCUUCAGCUGGAGGAUGGCGUUGGAACCAGGGGCUGCCAGUGAAAGAAUGGGCUGACUGUACUGACUGUCGCCCAGCCACCUCCAAGAACACUGCCCUCUGUGGCAAGGGACAGGGGACACUUUGAUCCUGAGGGAUUCUCCGCUCCAUCAGCAGUGGUCCCAGCGCAUCACCCUUAAUGAAGCAAGGGGCUUGACUGAUUCAGUGUUCUGUGGUGCCCAGGGCUUUAUUCUGGGAUGCUGUAAGGGUUAGCUGACAAUUUGGACUCAAUUCUUUCUGUCCUCCUGGCAAUCAAGGAAGGGUUCAAGACAGUUGGGACACAGCCAGGGGAUAAACCAGACCACCACUUAUAGGGCUGUCACAGGAAUGAGCGUUCGAAACAGCACUAGCCUGAACUCAGAAGAUACGUGAGCGUCAAAUAUGCAAACAAGAUGUAUUAUUCAAAGAGACUGUGUGACUGAAGAACAGCAUUAAAAAAUAAUAAAUAUCAUUUUCUACAUGAAAAAAGGAAAAAAACAGCCCUCACUGAACUGCCCUGUGCAGGCUUCUGACUACUUUUUGUUGUGGGAGGACAUGGGAACAUAUCGACUAUGAGGGAAGUUCUUUUUUUUUUCCCUGUGGUAUUCAAGCUAAAAAAUAAUAAUAAGUUAAUAAAAAGCACUUUAUGUUUUUCUAAUCUAGGCUCUACCAGGGACAGUGUCAAGAUCUCACACUUUAAAACAAGCACUAUUUCCCAUGGGCCGUAUGGUGGCCCUGCACUUGGGGUGUUACUUGUGCCCAUUUCUGGCCACAGUGGGUCUCACUGUCACCACAUAAGAAUCUGGGGCUCCUCCAUAGCCCCUCAGGAUCACCCCUCAUCCCUCAUGGGUCAGGAGGGGUCCUUAGCCCUCGGGGCAGAGCUCUCUUAAAGUCCCGUGUGCAAGAGACACACAUAUCUCAGAAGGGCGCAGCAAGUGGGGGUCGGGAAUCAUACUGUUCUUUCUUGUCAACCAGCCAUUGUGUGUCCUGUGUCACUGUCCUGAAAGCCCGAUGCUCUUUCCUGCAGCCAUCUAGGCAGACGGCACAGCCAAAAGCAAUAAGUACCCAUGUGUGUUCCUACAGGUUCUGAUGUACUUCCUGGUGUCGGUCUUCCUGUCCUCACGUGUUGACCUGGCGUUGUCCUGCCUGCUUGUAACCCAGUGGCACAGUGUUGUUGGCCCUUCCUCAGUGACACCAGUCCGCACGAUGCUAUAGAUAAUGGCUUGUGUAUCAGUAGAGAUGGUGUUAUUGGUCAGCCUGUCUGUAGUACAAUGGGGCAAUGUGGUUUUCUUACUAUAGUGUUAGUGGAUAAUGUCCCAAAUGCUGUAGUGUCCUCCCUGUCCUCAGAACAGUGACAGGCAUGUGUCUUCCUGAUGGAGCAAUGACAUGAUAUUGAACACCUGUCCUCAGUAUAAUUUAUGGCUGGUCUGCCCAAUAGUUCAAUGGCAUGAUCCACCCAUCAGCACACUUACAUCACAAUCUUUCUGCCUCCUGUUUCCAUGGCUGAGGUCAGGCCACCUGUAGGUAGAAUGCUAAAGGGUUAUACACUAACCUUAAGCAAAGUGUUUUCUACAGUUCAUGACACUUCUCAGCAUUUCUGGGGACCAGGGUCCCCUCCCUCCAGAGGGUGCACCUUGGUAUUGGCUGUGAAUGAAGAAAACUGAGAAGUCAACUGUCUGACCAGCCUCAGAGCUUUCUCAAAACAGACACAGAGGGGCUGAGACAGUGGAGGUCACCCUGAACAGCAGCACCCUGGAGGCAGGAAGCAAGGGGGGGACUCCAGGGCCCCCGAUGAGCUCAGCCUGGUGCUGGGGGGCUGUUGAUGUGACUGUGGGACCGUUCUGCUGACCAUCUUUUGUGUCUCUUUGUUUCUUCAUCACCAUAGAUGUUACCCAGCAGCACAAACGUGAAACUUCAGGGAAAAAACAAACCAACGCUUUUUGAUAAAAAGUCAAUAGUUGUGAUUUCCGAUUCAGAUAUUUUUAGAGCUCUCUGUAAAAACUCCUACUGAUAAUAUAGUCUAUUUUACAUAUCAGGAAGUAAACAUGUCCUAACAUAGCCAUAUAUAGCCAGAAGGAAGUUACUGUCCCCUUCUUCAAAUCAAGGCAUUUCAUUUGUCGGUUAAGCCGAUGGCCAGUGUACAGAGUAGAAGUGAUUUCUUUCUUUUCUAAGAACCACUUGGUGCGACUCUCCUUGUAACCAAAGGCCCCUCUGCCUUGUGUCAUGUAGGACCUGGCUGCCCCUUCCUCCUGUGUUUUGUGUGACCGUAAAGUAGCAUUUUAUAGAGUAAAUGGAAGACGAAUUCAGAAUCCCCCUUCCUAACUGAAGAAACAGAGUCUGCAGAAUUCUACAGAAACAACCAUCAAAACUCAAUCCCUCCACCUGCUGACAAGGAACGCUGAGUUUCAUUCCACACAUACCUGUCCUGGGUUCCUGUGUUUACGUGCUCUGGGAAAGGUGGAGAAGAGUCACCAAGAUGAAGCAGUGUCUGAAAGAAGGGUCUCAGUAGUGAAGAGGGAAGCCAGGGUGUGGAGGCAGAGGCUACCUGAGCUUGGUGGUCCAUUUCCGCCUGUCCUAAACCAACCACAGCAAAAAGGAGUGAGGUUCCGUCAAUAACACCAAGGUUAUUGUCCAGUUAUGAAAUCAACAAGACCGUCAAGAACCCAGCAGAACUUGAGUUCCAGCAUCCAUCCCAUCAUCAGAAAAGCCAGGCAUAGGGCGGUUGUGUGUGCCCAUCACACUGGGAAAACCUGACCCAUGGGAGAGGUGAGGACAGGUCAGUCUUCUCACCUUUUUAUCAUUGGAUGUCCCCAAAACAGCAGGUCUGAGGCAGCAGACUUCUGUCUGGGAUUCCAUCUUAAGCACAUUUAGAGGAGAAAGGAAAAAGAAGAGAGAACAUUGGUCAUCAAAGAGAGAGGAAAUACCCAAAUCAUGAGGAAGCCAUCGUUAACCCCCUCUGCUCACCCUCAACGGUUGCUUUUUCCAAUGGAGUCCUUCUUGUCUACCUCCUCUGUGUUCCAGAACUGCAGCCUCGUCUUGGCCCCUUCUCCUGAGGAGAUCCAUGUUUCUAAGGAGAAGGAAAAAACAACAAGACGCAACAGCAUCCUCUUCUAUACAACUGUAAUGUAUUGUCGAUAUUUGUAAUUAUUAUAUAUUUGUCUGACUCUGGUCAUGGCUGGAAUGUCUAGUCCAUGAACAAGGGAAUAUUUAAAAUUCAUCACAGAUAAGGGUCCCUAAAGCCAGGUCUCUCUAUAUAGAGAGAUAGAUAUAGAUAUAUAAAUAUCUCUCCUUUCCUUAUUUCUCUGCCAACUUGUCUCAAGUAAAGUAACCACAGGCCACCCUGAAUCAAAAGAGGACGUACAGAAAAGCUUCUAGAAAAUGCUGCUUCAAAGAUGUACUUGGCAUGUGUGUAGCCGAGAAGUUGGCAGAAGAAAGAAGGGGCUCUCAGGUCUCCAGCAGGACAACAGAACACUCCAGCCCCAGGCAUUUCCUAACCUAGUUAUUGUUUGUAGAACAACACUCAAAUGUUUUCAUGUCACCAGGCCAGGGCCAUCUAAACCAGCCCUGGCCACACCUGGAAAUAAGAGUUACCUCUGCAUUUUCUGUUGCCAUUUCUUCUGGCUCUAGAAGCAUCUAUAUCCUAGGACAUCCACAUAUCUCAGAGUAGUCUAUUUUUUUGUUCACAUAAAUAUAUAUAUAUAUGUAUUUUUAGUAUAUUUAUAAUAGGACAACUUAGUCUAAUUUCUUUUGUAACAAUAAUAUCUCGGGGGUUUUACUGUUGCUCAUUUGCAUAGCUGGUCUUUUCUGCUCUUCAUCAUUCCUUCCCACUGUCCCUUGGGCUGUUUUUCUUUUUCUUUUCUUUUCUUCUGUUGGAUUUUGGUUGUCUGGAGGUGAGGAAAGACGGGGGUUUGACAUCUUGGAAGACUGUGUUCCUGGCCCCUCGGGGGCAGUGCAGUGAGGGGGGUGAGGAUUCUGUGUCUUUCCUCAUCAUGUCUGUGAUCAGGUCUGGCUAUCACUCUUAAGAAUCCAGGUGUGCAGAAACAAGCCAGGUGAAGCAGAGGUGUAGUUGGGACCUGGGCUGCCCGGAGCUUAGGCUUUACCCUCCCAGGAUCUUAAAGGACCGAGCUUUCUGGUUCCUAAAAAUACUGGAACCAAGACCCUCCUGCAAGCAAACUUGUCUCUGAUCGCUAAGCUCAGGAACAGUCCUGAGUUCCUCUUGGCCAGACUGUCCCCAUGUCCAGCAUCCUGCUUCCCAGGGCCAUCAACUGGAUCCAGGGACCAGAGCAUGUGCAGGCUCUGGCAAACUUCAGAGGAAUGUGCUGCAUCUCCGACCCCUUUCUCACAGUCUCACCAAAAACCAGUGGCCAGACAGCCUUUUAGCCAAAAGCUGAGGAGUCCAAGGCUGUGAUCUUCCUGCCCAGUCCUUCUCAGCUGCGCCAAGAGUGAAAUUUGGGGCAAGGGCAGCAGUAUUUUUCCAGCUUCCACUUUUCCAAGCCUCCAGUCCUUGAUCAGUCCUGAACAUUCAUCUGUGAGGCAAUUUUGAGUCUAGGGGCAGGUGAUGGACAGACAUGGAGUGAAAGGGGUUCUCCAUCAGUCACUUACACGGAACAGCAAAGAAAGCCAAUCAGAUUGCCUCUCAUGCUCAACUGGUCACCUGCCUGCCUCAGCUCUGGGCUCUGAGCUCCAUCAGCAUCUGAUAUUCAGGUGGAGCCAGGACCAUUUCCAUCUCAGACAGGGAUGAUGUCCCCCACCGAAAGACCCCCAAGAGGAUGCUAACCCAAAUGCAAAUUCAUUAUUCUGGUGGUUGGAUUUCCUUUUCUUCCCUUUGGUUUUGUUCUGUUUUGUGGUGUUGGGAAAUCUAGCUAGGGCCUUGGCUGUGUCAGACUAGUGCUUGACCCCUAAGCUACAUCUCCAGCCCCUGAAUGUGUUAUUUUGGAAUGUAAUCCUUAUCGGUUUCCCCAGCCCUAAAAUUCCUGGUAAUCUGGUUUGUUCCAAAUAAAACAGGCAAGAGUGUGUGUGUGUGUGUGUGUGUGUGUGUGUGUGUGUGUGUGUGUAACUUUUGCAUAGAACAAAAUUUAAAAGUGCUGUCCUGAUAUUUCCCAGGUUUCCUACCCAGAUAAGUAAACACUGGCUGUCUUCCCAAGAAAGAGGGGGUACGCUCUGACCCCUCUGCUUGCCUUAGAAUUCCUCUCAAAAUUUCCAAGUGGCAAUUUGAACUAAAUUUGGAAGGGGCUGUUAGUCAAGUGAGCCCUCUUCUUCACGUCUAGCCCUACCUCUUUCCCUGCCUCUUUCUCUCUCGGCCAAGAUCCUGAAGAACUCUAAAAGCUUGUAGGAGAGCAUGGGCAGGGAGCUGGCCCACAGACAUAGGCACCUAAUGUGAGUUGGUCAGUUCUGCUCAAAGCAAGUAAGCCCUUUCUCAUCAGUUAGGUGAUGUGCUCAUGGAAUGCCAUGCCUGGUGGGUAAGGAGCUCCAGACUACCUGCUGUAUUACAGGAAUUCACAGGGAGGCUGGAUAAUGCACAAAUGGGCCCUGGCAUUACUACAAAAUUAGACUGGAAACUCCAAGUAAUUCUUUGUGUGAGUGUGUGUGUGUGUGUGUGCGCGUGCGCGUGUGCGUGUGC